rnacentral:rRNA from 1 species
GUUCUCAGUUCGGAUCGGAGUCUGCAACCCGACUCCGUGAAGCUGGAUUCGCUAGUAAUCGCGCAUCAGCCAUGGCGCGGUGAAUACGUUCCCGGGCCUUGUACACACCGCCCGUCACACCAUGGGAGCUGGUAACACCCGAAGUCAGUAGUCUAACCGCAAGGAGGACGCUGCCGAAGGUGGGAUUAGCGACUGGGGUGAAGUCGUAACAAGGUACC